rnacentral:lncRNA from 1 species
GUAUAACGAUGAUUAGUGUUUCCAUGCUGUAACCUGCAGCUUCCCCUUGCAGGGUUUGCCCUUUAGAAGAGGGCAACUUCGCAGUGAUAUUCAUGUUGCAAAGGUAUCCUUGGCAGCACUCCACAGCUUGGUCAGGAGAUGGCGGAGUUUUGCACGUCAUUUUCCCUUGUUCAUAGACUUGGAAGCAGCCUUUCUGGUAAACCUUAGCACCAUCGUUAAUGCUCAGGGAGGCGAAGCACUGCUGGCCCUGGCAGCGGUCUCCAUUCCCACAUGACAUGCCUUCACACACACAUUCAUUUAGCUUCAGCUCCUCAUCUUGCACACUGCGGGAUGGCAGGGCCAGCAGCAGCAGCAGCACGGGGAGAGCCAUGGCUCCAUCUGUCGCCGUAGGCCUCCUCAUCGCUGCGGCGGGCGCUACGGCGGACUCGCCAUGGGCGGCGGCGGCG